AGUGAACGCUGGCGGUAGGCCUAACACAUGCAAGUCGAACGGCAGCACAGGAGAGCUUGCUCUCUGGGUGGCGAGUGGCGGACGGGUGAGGAAUACAUCGGAAUCUACUUUUUCGUGGGGGAUAACGUAGGGAAACUUACGCUAAUACCGCAUACGACCUACGGGUGAAAGCAGGGGACCUUCGGGCCUUGCGCGAUUGAAUGAGCCGAUGUCGGAUUAGCUAGUUGGCGGGGUAAAGGCCCACCAAGGCGACGAUCCGUAGCUGGUCUGAGAGGAUGAGCAGCCACACUGGAACUGAGACACGGUCCAGACUCCUACGGGAGGCAGCAGUGGGGAAUAUUGGACAAUGGGCGCAAGCCUGAUCCAGCCAUACCGCGUGGGUGAAGAAGGCCUUCGGGUUGUAAAGCCCUGUUGUUGGGAAAGAAAUCCAGCUGGCUAAUACCCGGUUGGGAUGACGGUACCCAAAGAAUAAGCACCGGCUAACUUCGUGCCAGCAGCCGCGGUAA
rnacentral:rRNA from 1 species